rnacentral:rRNA from 1 species
GCUUGACAUGUAUUGUAACCCCGGUGAAAGCCGGGCAGCAUGGAAACAUGCGCUUUACACAGGUGCUGCAUGGCUGUCGUCAGCUCGUGUCGUGAGAUGUUGGGUUAAGUCCCGCAACGAGCGCAACCCUUGUGGUUUGUUGCCACCGGUUCAUUCCGAGCACUCAAAUCAGACUGCCCAGAUUAACUGGGAGGAAGGUGGGGAUGACGUCAAGUCCGUAUGGCCCUUACGUCCUGGGCUGCACACGUACUACAAUGUCCAGUACAAAUUGAACCGAUGCCGCAAGGUGGAGGAAAUCAAUAAAACUGGGCUCAGUUCAGAUUGCAGGCUGCAACUCGCCUGCAUGAAGUCGGAAUCGCUAGUAAUGGUACAUCAGCAACGGUACCGUGAAUACGUUCCC